UAAUCAUCCAGUGAGCAAUACGCACUUGAGCAUUUUAGUAUAUAAUAUACGCCAAUACUGAUAAAAUCAGAACAAUCGCUAUUGAUUAUACGGUCCAAACAUUUCGAUUUACAUCUCUGCUUUAUAACAUUUAUAUUGGCUGGUGCUACGAGAUUAUGCUGAUAAUUUAGAAGAGUGUGAACAGAACACCAAGCUCAGUGCUUUAUUCACUUCAUUCACGGCAGCGUGCGGACGCAGGAUUGUAACGUCGAUAAAGACAAAGUGCAUUGUUCCUAAAUGGCUUUCCUAAUUGUAGCUGGAGUGUUGCUCGUAAUAAAUACAGUGUUUUUGGUUGGAUCUUUAAUCUAUACGCUGAAGACUACUACGGGAAAGGUUGAUCCCGUGGCGCCUUCUCGGAUGGACCCGCGCUUGAGUCUGCAACCACAGGAGCUAUUGUACCAAGCCAUCGUGCGCAUGAGUGCAAACCCAGUUCCCGAUAUCGACAAGCUAGACAGCCAGACAAAGCAAGCUUCGUAAACGACCACCAAACUGUGUACCUAUACCGUAUAUAAAUAUGCAAGCCAGACCAAGCCGAAGAACAAGUCUAUGUUCAUCGCGUGGAAGGAGAUCCCGCGCUUCUUUCUACCGAAGUCGAUCUACUGCCCCAGCACAAACACUAAAGAAUUCACCAACAAAUCCUGAACUAAACACAUCUAUAUCUUUUAGAUAUUAAUGAAGGUUUCCCAUACCAAACUGUGAUGGCAUUAGACAAAUAAAAAUUGUGAUUGUUCCUAUUCUGUGUCUUACGAUAUUAUGUUUUGCAAUAAAGAUUAAUUAAAAACA